rnacentral:rRNA from 1 species
UACGUAGGUGACAAGCGUUGUUCGGAAUUACUGGGCGUAAAGGGCGCGUAGGCGGCCUUCUAAGUCGAACGUGAAAUCCCCGGGCUCAACCCGGGAACUGCGUCCGAGACUGAAAGGCUUGAAUCCGGGAGAGGGAUGUGGAAUUCCAGGUGUAGCGGUGAAAUGCGUAGAUAUCUGGAGGAACACCAAUAGCGAAGGCGACUCUUUGGCCUGUAACUGACGCUGAGGCGCGAAAGCGUGGGGAGCAAACAGG